GGAUGCAAUUUCGUGCCACUCGAUUGGACCCUUCGUGGCAGGCUAAAAGAAUAGCUGCCCAAGAACGACAGGCCAAGAAUGAUGCACCCCAUCUAUUGUCAAGAGGGGGAUAUGAAAGAAAAAAAA